GGCGCAGUGUUUUCCAGCCGUUGCGUGUAUUGUUAUACAGAGUUUGAAUAUUGUUUAUUUGAUAUUAAUAUCACUUUUUAUGUGUUUGAAGAUCGGAAAAGCAUACACAUAUAAGUGGCAUUCACACACUUGUCUCAAAGAUCAUGAAGAAUGACCAGCUUCAGCAGUUCAGCUCAGGUCCGGGGCUGGUCCUCUUGACGGCGUGCAGGAGAGCGAGGAGUGGCUACCUGCACAUAACAGCACAAUGACCGGCACCGAGCUGAGGGCAUAAAAUCACAUCAUAUCGACUUCAGCAUCUGUCUCCCAGCUUUGGAGACGUCGCCCGAGUCCCUGAGUGGCGAGCGCCAGUUUCCGAAAGGAAGUUAAGGAAGGCGACCCGAAAGCACUCGCUGGGCUGCCGACACUCCUGCGCUGCCAGCAGGGCGUGCUGCGCAGCAAAGCCUCGCGGCGUGGUCUGUACGACAUCCGACAUCGGCACCCAGACGUGCAGUUUCUGAUGACAUCCCACCUCAACCAGGGCUGCCCCGAGAAUCUGCUGACUGCCUGCUGCUGAGGCCGACCUGCUGAGCCUGUCGCCGCCCCGACGGACCUGCCGACGACCUGCCGGACCUGUCGCCGCCCUGGUGAGCCUGCGGCCGCCCUGGAACCUGCUGCCGCCGCGUCUACGCUGCCGCCCUGGUGAAACUGCCGUCGCCCUGCCGGACCUGUCGCCGCCCUGGUGAGCCUGCGGCCGCCCUGGAACCUGCUGCCACCCCGGCGGACCUGCCGCCGCGUUUACGCUGCCGCCCUGGUGAAACAGGUCCGUCGUCGCCCUGCCGGACCUGUCGCCGCCCUGGUAAACCUGCUGCCGACCUGUCGCACCUGCCACCGCCCUGGUGAAUCUGCUGCCGACCUGCCUGACCUGUCGCUGCCGUGGUGAACCUGCCACCGACCUGCCGGACCUUUCUCGCCGCCUUGAUGAGCUUGGGGAGCCUGUGCUGAGGUGCCACCGCUCUGCUUCACGUGUAAUGUUGCCCGGUUCCUGGCUGUCGCGUGGUCAGUCGGCACAUUGUGUUUGGAGAGGCGACAUCUUGUACAACUUUCCGACAGUUCGGAGCAUUUUAGUUUACCUACUCAAGUCGCAAGAGAUUAGGCUUGUGCCUUAUCUGUCCUCUACCAAUCUGUCCAAUAUGGUUUUUAACUAUAACUACGAUUUAUGCACUCAAAACUUUUUUACGACCUCCUGGAGGGUUCAUUUUCAUCAAACCCCCAAGAUAAGAGUAUAUUGAAAGGGUAACUCGCUGCUACCAUUAUGUGCAUAGUAACGGUACGUGGUUAAUAUGAACUUAUUCGCCAGCGAAGAGUAUAAUUACCAUGUAAAUAUCAAUAUUACUCUCGCGAUCCAGAACAUCAUGAAAACUCUUUCCUUCUGGGUAUCGUGACUCGUGUACAGAUAGUCGUUUCAUGCGUGGAUCUUGUUUACCCUCGUGAAGAUGAUAUUUGAAAUGGAACCAAUCAGCCAAUCAGAAACGAGAUCGGCCGUUUGCGGUUUGAAGGCCGCGCGCAUCUGUCAGUUUUCGGCCGUUGGUCUCCGAGAGCGGAUGUGAGCAGUGUCGGUGCCGCGCGGCGUGGCCGUUGGUGAUUGUGCUUGUGUGCUGUUCAUCGCCUAUAGAGCCUCUAUGGACAUUUUAUUGUAAGUACCGAUGUGCUAGAGCAUUGCGUGCCGUUGAGUGGUGCUAAUUUGACCUGGUUAACAGGACCCCGUGCACGGCCACGUGGCCUAGUGUUGAGUACGUACAUUAAUUUUGUUGUGAUGCUACAAGUUUAUGCAUAUUGUUGGUGACUUUGAAAAAAGACUUGUACUGUAGUGAUCCAGUCUCAUUAUCUCACGCAGACGGGCGACCACCCAGGAACGCCGUCGCUCACUUCAAAUAUUGUGCGCUGUGCCUUAUCCAAUAUGAGGGUGCUGAAUGUCUUGUAGGUAUUCAUAUUCAAAUUGCAUUCAAGUUGUCGCGUGGUGUUUAUUUAUCGCUUGUGCAUUGAUGAACGCUUUGUUAAAUUCGUAUGAAUAAGUGAAGAGUCUCACAAUGUUCAUGGCUGGUGUGCCCCUCGUAUUGUUUGUACGGAAGCCAAAUAUAUAUUGUUGCUCUUGAAACA